CGUGUAGGCGGUCAUGUAAGUCAGAUGUGAAAGCCUUCCGCUUAACGGAAGAAGUGCAUUUGAAACUGCAUGACUAGAGUACGGGAGAGGAGAGUGGAAUUCCCGGUGUAGAGGUGAAAUUCGUAGAUAUCGGGAGGAACACCAGUGGCGAAGGCGGCUCUCUGGAUCGAUACUGACGCUGAGACGCGAAAGCGUGGGGAGCAAACAGGAUUAGAUACCCUGGUAGUCCACGCUGUAAACGAUGGGCACUAGGUGUAGGAGGUAUUGACCCCUUCUGUGCCGAAGCUAACGCAUUAAGUGCCCCGCCUGGGGAGUACGGCCGCAAGGUUAAA
rnacentral:rRNA from 1 species